rnacentral:rRNA from 1 species
UACGGAGGGGGCUAGCGUUGUUCGGAAUUACUGGGCGUAAAGCGCACGUAGGCGGCCUGUUAAGUCGGGGGUGAAAUCCUGGGGCUCAACCUCAGAAUUGCCUCCGAUACUGGCAGUCUCGAGUGCGGGAGAGGUGAGUGGAAUUCCCAGUGUAGAGGUGAAAUUCGUAGAUAUUGGGAAGAACACCAGUGGCGAAGGCGGCUCACUGGCCCGGAACUGACGCUGAGGUGCGAAAGCGUGGGGAGCAAACAGG